AUGGCCACCUCGGGCGAUCAGUCGGGCGGCUGCGGGUCUGCGGCCGCGAAGGGGUCCAAACUGCGGUACCCGCUGCGGUCGGCGGGCCGGGGGAAGCUCGAGCCGCCGGCGGCGGCAGAUGCUGCUCCUAGCGGCCCUGCUUCGCGAAGGGCCAAACCAUCUUCAGAUGUCACCAAGAGCUGUGCUCUCGAUCUUUCCGCCGUGAAGGAUAAAUCAGCUAAACCUCCGCGGAGGCACUCAAUACCAACAAAGCCAGGUGUUAGUCCAAGGCCUACUCCUACUGGAACUAUUACUCCAGUGUCAGGGGUUCGCUCCAGGAGGUCAGACAGCCUUGGGAGGUUGGAUACCCCGACAUCUGAAGCAUCCAUGUCUACAGCAAGGCGCAAGUUCAGUACACUCUCCUCGGUCUCAUAUUGGAUGACACAGAUUAGGCUUGCAGAGGCUGCUUCCAAGCACUCUAUCUCCCUGGGCUUCUUCAAGCUUGCCCUUGAGUCAGAAUGCGAGCCUCUGGAUAGGAUGAGAGAAGAACUAAAGACUUAUGUGGCCAGGCAUGGCCUUGCAACAGAAUUGGAGGAGCCGGUGAAGGAGAUUCUUCAGGUUUAUGAUAUCAUGGAAGAUUUUGAGAAGCUAAAGAUCUCUCUGGACUCCUCACUGGAGCCAAAAAAGUCUGACAAGGCUGCUCUUGGUGCUGCCAAUGUGACUCCAAAGGGUAAUCUGAAACCCAGGUCUCUGAACUCUGUUGCAACUCAGAGUAAAGAUGGCAAGAAAGAGAACAUUCAGAAGGAGAAGCCUGAUGCCAAGAUCAGAGGUUCCUAUAACCGGAAUCCGGCCAAGAAUGCUCCUGCAAAAGAAGUUGCCAAAAAUACCGCCAAGAAAACCAAGAAGCAGGCUAAGGAGCAGCAAGAAGAUUGUAAUGGAGGCAGUGAGGUUUUGCCGGUUGACGCAGAUCAAGAAUCUGUUGAUGUGGUGAAGGAGAUCACAUAUGAAGAUAAGGAGAACAUGGGGGAUGCUGAGAUGGCAAUAGAUGCUGGCAACGCCAUAGCCCAAGAAGUCUAG
rnacentral:rRNA from 1 species